UACGUAGGCAGCGAGCGUUGUUCGGAGUUACUGGGCGUAAAGAGUGCGUAGGCGGUUUUCUAAGUUUGGUGUGAAAUCUCCCGGCUCAACUGGGAGGGUGCGCCGAAGACUGGAAGGCUAGAGUAUGGGAGAGGUAAGCGGAAUUCCUGGUGUAGCGGUGAAAUGCGUAGAUAUCAGGAGGAACACCUGCGGUGUAGACGGCUUACUGGACCAUCACUGACGCUGAGGCACGAAAGCGUGGGUGGCAAACAGG
rnacentral:rRNA from 1 species